CUUAUUCACAGUCUAAAUGCACUAUUAAUUCUAAAACAAAUAACUGUUGUUAAUUUGGAAUAUCCAAACACAAAAACUACUACAAUGUGAAAGACAGCUAUACCUCUGCCACCAUGGUGGUCUCCAGCUCCAGCUGUGCUGCCUGGGUUGUCUUCUGUUCUACCUACUCUGCCGUGGCUGCCUGAUCUGCCAGCUCCUCCCUGGUCUUUAGCUCCACCCAGGCCACCUAAUCUACUGUUUCCACCCUGGUCUUCAGUUCCACCUAGCCCACCUGAUCUGCCGGCUCCUCCCUGGUCAUCAAAUCUUCCAUCUCCUUAAUGGUCUCCAACUCUGCCCUGGCCACAGUCUGCCUGCUCCAC
ensembl:lncRNA